GGGAGCUUCCCAGAGUGGCUGGGGAGGCCUGGCCAAAUGGGUGGGGUAUAAAUAAUAAAUUAUUGUGAUGAUGAUGGUGAUGAUGGUGGUGGUGGUGAUUGUGAUUAUUGCUCCAGGCACACAAUUAGGAUGAUACAAACCAGCACCCCCCCCCAAUCCCCGGUGUGCACCCUCUGUGCCCUGUCCCCUCCUGGUGUGCCCCCUUGCCCAUCAGUAAUAAGUGCUGGGGCAGAGAACUCUUCAUGCCCCGUCCCUGCCUGGAGCACCAGCCUGGCCACAUCAGCGGCAAGGACUGGAUGAGCACCCUCUGCCUUUGCCUCCGGAGCUUGUGAACGCACCUGCCCCGGGAGCCGGCAAACAAUGCUACGCCCCUGGGAGGUACGGCCUCCCGCUGGCCUCUAGUCUUCUGUUUGAUGGAUAAGGCCAGAGUAGGGUCUCAUCCCCACUUCCAGCUGUCCCACCGCUUUUCCCUGGGGGACCCCACCUCUGAUUUGGAGCAAAUGUCAAUUGGGUUUUCUUUGGGGAAAGCAGUGGAGCAAAUGGAAGGCCACCGUGCUUUCUAGGCAUGGGGACAGUGGCAGGGCAGCUUGGAGCACGGAAACCAGCUCCCUGCAGCUGCUGCUUCUCUGGUAGAGGGAUUCAGUUCUCCUCCUUGCCAUUCUGUACUUCCUGAGAUGCAUGGCAUUCUUUCCACACUUCCCCUCCCCACUCCAAAAUCCCUUGACACAUUUCAAUGCUCCUUGUGGAUCCUAACUGACGCAUUUUGAUAAUACCCCCUUUGUUAUUAUAGUGGUACCUUGGUACUCAAACACCUUGGUUCCCAAACGCCAAAAACCCGGAAGUAAGUGUUCCAGUUUUCAAAAAAAAUUCAGAAGCUGAAUGUCCAAUACGGUUGUCAGCUAUUGUUUCCGGGGCGCCUGCACCAAUCAGAAGCUGCACCUCAGUUUUCGAACAUUUCAGAAGUCAAACGGACUUCUGGAACAGAUUAAGUUUGGCGCUUUUGUUUUUGCUAUUUAUUUUGUGUUUUUGUGGCUUUUUUUGGUUAAUUUGUUUUUGUGACUGUGUGGAACCCAGUUCAGCUACUGAUUGACUGAUUGUGUGACUGCGGAAAUGGAUAAAAGCCCCACAUCCAAACCAUGACUAUCAUCAGUGCAGGUAAGGGAAAAAAUUAAUUUUAUUUUUCAACAUCUACAAUACUGUCUUAUUUAUUUUAUAGUACAGUACAUUGAUUAUUGCUUUCACUUUAUGGAUCAGUGGUCUCGUUAGAUAGUAAAAUUCAUGUGAAAUUGCUGUUUUAGGGGUUGUUUUUAAAAGUCGGGAAUGGGUUAAUCUGUUUUGCAUUCCUUUCUAUGGGAAAGCGUGUCUUGGUUUUGGAACGCUUUGGUUUUUGAACGUACUUCCGGAACAGAUUAAGUUUGAGAACCAAGGUACCACUGGAUUAUUUAUUUAUUUAUUUAUUUAUUUAUUUAUUUAUUUAUUGAAUUUAUAUACCGCCCCACACCCGGAGGUCUCAGGGCAGUUUUCAGGACUGGAAAUCCUGCUGCUAUCUCCUGAGAUCCUCUUUAGCUUUAUGCUCAUCCCCGCCUUGUCAUCCUGGGCCAAUAAUGCUCUGAUUAACUUUCAGAGCCUGCUUAUUAGGCAUCAGGGAGCCGCUUCUGGGUUUUAAGGGACGGCACAGCAAUAUGGCUCAGGUUUAUAGAUUCAUAUGUUGCAUCACAUUCAUAUUUGAUUAUGUUUUCUCUGCUGGGAAUAUUAAAAAGAUUAUUGCAUUCCUUUUGUUCUAGCUUCUUCCACAAAACCUGUGUGCAAUGAUGUAGGAUGCAUUGGGUCUAGUGAUAAGGGCUGCUUUUGCACAUGAAGGUGGGGAGAAAUUGUGGCUCUCUGGGAAAAGGCUGCCACAGGGGCUUCCAUACAACAGAUUAACACAAGACAGUCCUGCCCACAGGGUUAACAUCUAAAAGGCAUGACACACAAGGGGAAAGGGACAGGGAGGGAAGAGGAAAAAAGCAAACUCAGACAAUGAUUCUUAAAUAGAAGUUCAUGCCAGCUAGCAUAGAAACAGCCUGAUGGAGCUAGUCUUUCAGAAAGGCUGAUGGAAUUAGUCCUGCUUCUCAUCUCUCCCACCAAGGCAGCCAGACCACCAUUCGCAGUAUUUGUUUUUCCCAUGAAACUAGACAGGAACACAUAGGAAUCACGAACGCAGCAUAGUCGUUAUUUUUAUUCAUAUGCUUAAGAUAAUUUAUUUGCCUUCCUUUGCAUGAACCACAAGGUGGUUUACAACAAGGCAAACAGACAGAAAUCAAUAAAACCCAUCCAACAGCACAAUCGUUCGAAAAACAUGCAACAAAUAGCAAAAGAGAAAUGACUGAUCAAAGUAGCAGCAAUUGGAUCUCUCCUGCUCCAAACACUCGCUGAAAAAGAUUCAUCUUAACUAACCAUUUAAAAGUACAGAGAGACGGGGUCAGGCACACCUUACUAGGGAGGUGAUUCCACAUAUGAGGAGCUGCCACUGACAGGGAACAAGGGUUCAGGCAGGGGAUAUCCACAGGAGAGAUACCACAGGGUAUUGAACCAAGGCCUUCUGCAUGAAAGCAGAUGCUAUGCACUAAGCCAUGGGCCCUCAGUUAUCUUAGUAAUUUCCUGCUUUUGCUGGAAGUGGGUGGUGGUGCACAAGCCGAGUCCCCACCAGGUAUUUAUCAGUUGCAGUGACGUAGCAUGGGUUGUCAGCACCCGGGACAGCGCAGAGCAGGUGGGUGGGUGGAUACGAGGGGAAAGGAUGAAGCACGCAUGUGCAUUCAACUGCCUUUUGGCUUCCAUGUCACCCAGGAGAUUGCAGUCACAGAGAUAAGAAAAGAAGAGUUGUUCCGUUGUCCAGGGAAAUCAUUUCUUGGUUUGUAUGAAGAAGCCAUUUUCAGCGGAACUGUAUUGAGACAGCACUGAGUGUUGAAAUUUUGCACCCCCUAACAAUUUUACGCCCGAGGAAACCAUCCCUGUGCCCCCCCCACACACACACACACUACGCCACAGGUCAGUUGACACUCUCUUUUUCUGCUUCUGCUUCUUUCUUUCUUUCAGAUGCGGCAGCCAUUUUGUGCCUCGUCAUACCCACCCAGCAGCCAUUUUGUGAUAGACACCCAUGGCACUUUCUCAACAUUCCAAACAUGCCAAAUGUCCCCUCUCAAAAAAAAAUAUCUUGCUAGCUUUUGCUUGUCAGUGCCUCGCUUCCGGGGCUCCUGAUCCAAACCUGAAAACAUCCGACACUUAGAUAACUUGCAUGCUGGGCCGACGUGGACUGAUUUGGUGACAGCCCACUGAAACCCUCCUCAGGAUCCUCAGCUUCCAAGUCUUUGAGCUCCUUCUACCACUCGUGAUGGAAGUGGAAGGACAUGAACUGGCAGGACAACAGGGAGGAGGGGGGAGAUUCUGGCAAGGGGUAUAGCUGAGACUAGGACACACUUGGGCAAGCUGGGAUGGGAAAGAGAAGUUUGUGUAGGAAGUACUCACGGGGUGACGAAGGGUGACAAGGGGGUCAAUUGGGGUCAAUGCACAGGAACCAGAGCAGCAGGGCUGUCAGGUAGCAGAGGAACCAACCCCCAUGGCUGGUUGCCAGGAACGGAUAAGACAAUGGCUCAGGACAGCAAUACCUCAAGGACCGCCUCUUUCCAUAUGAACCUUCCCGGACCCUGAGAUCAUCUUCUGAGGCCCUUCUUCAUGUGCCUCCUUCUCAAGAUGUCCGGAGGGUGGCAACACGAGAACGGGCCUUCUCUGCAGUGGCUCCCCGUCUCUGGAAUGCUCUCCCCAGGGAAAUUCGCCUGGCGCCUUCAUUAUUUACCUUUAGGCACCAGGCAAAAACAUUCCUUUUUAACCAGGCCUUUGGUUGACCUGAUGGACAUCCUAUACCCUUUUAAAAUGUGGCUCUUGGGGGGGGGGGCUGUUACUGAGUUAUUGUUCUUAUUUUGAUUUUAUAGAUUGUGAUUUUAUUCUGUGAACUGCCCUGAUACCUCUGGGUAUAGGGCAGUAUAUUUAUUAAGACAAGGAAAAGUCCUUACCAUCUGCUUUUUAUUCAAUAUUUACAGAGAGAGGCUUGGCAAUGCAACCUCUUGGAAUAAUGGCGUUGUCCCGAGUAAAUCUAUACCCCCUCUUCUCUCCCACUUCCUCAUUGGUCAACAGCACACACACCCCUUUACGGGUGCCGCUACAUGCCCUCUGUCUUUGAGCUCUUUGCUCUCCUACUUUUAAGGCUCCCCAGAUUCUAGGAGAUGGUGGGUCUGGAAUGCUUUCUAGUAAUAAUGUGGCAGCCAGCUGCUUUGACUCUGCCUCCUCCUCCUCUCCCAUUAUUUCCCAACUUUUCCCUUCAUCUUCCUCUGAGCUGUGACCUCCCUCAAACCCCUGCUGUAAUUUCUGAACUGUCUUCUUCUUCUUCUCUGGAAGGGUCAGGCUGGGGAGGUGGUCUGCACUAUCCCUCCUCUGCCCAGUCCCUGACAAGGGCCCAUCACCAGAGCUAGAGGGGCCCCAGUCUCCUAGAACACGGCAGGCUUUCAGGCAUAAGGAGCAGCAGGAGUGAUGCUCUAGGAGGUUCAGGCGGGCAAGGACCCACAGCCCAGGUCACUAGCUGGCCAGGUGGGGCUUGCUAGCUCUGGGAGGAGGUGUGUGAUUCCUCAGCUGGAAUAGGCUCAGGACAGGUGAGGGUCACCUGCCUCCUCAAGCCCAGAUGCUGCGGUCAGCAUUCAAAGUAUAAAAGGGCAGCAGAGCUGAGGUGCUGUGUCUGCUCAUCUGCCCAUGUUGAUGGACCUCAGCUUGAAUCUUUGCAGGACUUUGGACCUGUGGAUUGACCCUGAACUGGGGGCUUGACAUACUAACUUGCCACCAGGUAGGCCAGGGGUUCAGGACACUGAUCCAAUUGCGGUUCUGCUGCGGUCCUGAGUCCCUGCAGGACGUCUCCACGGGACUUGCAAUGCUGUAGUCACCAGAUGGGUACCAUGAACCGCUCCCAGUGGGCACUUCCAGCCCAGAAGGCAGAGAUCAUAGCCCUAAACCACAGCAGUGCAAUUGGCGGGAGGCUGGAUAAUAAUAUAAUAAUAAUUUAUUAUUUAUACCCUGCCCAUCUUGCUGAGUUUCCCCAGCCACUCUGGGUAGCUUCCAACAAAAGUUUAAAAAUACACUAAAACAUCAGUCAUUAAAAGCUUCCCUAAACAGGGCUGCCUUCAUAUGUCUUCUAAAUGUCAGAGAGUUGUUUAUUUCUUUGACAUCUGACGGGAGGGCAUUCCACAGGGCAGGUGCCACUACCGAGAAGGCCCUCUACCUUGUUCCCUGUAACCUCACUUCUCGCAGUGAGGGAACCGCCAGAAGCCCCUCAGAGCUGGACCUCAGUGUCCGAGCUGAACGAUGGGGGUGGAGACGCUCCUUCAAAGCAUGCUCUCACAACACUUGAUCCUCAUGGGGCCUGAAGGAAAGGGGCCAUCCCAAAUCUACAGGAAAGGCAGUAAAUUAUGUCUCAGAAAUCAUUGCUGUCCUGGAAGCAGCGUGGACCACCUAGGAGGUGGCAGUAGUCCUCUGCCAAGCACAACAGAAAGGACAAAUUGAAAUCAAAAGGAAAAUGAAGGACAGAUUUGGCAGCCAAAGCAGCUGCAGAAUGGGAAUCACCUGAGAAAGGAGCUGUCAGCGUUGAGGAACAAGUUAUCAUCCCUGUAUUAUUGUGUGGAAUGUCUUGGGUUCUUGUCAGAAUGAGGUCCAUUUUGGUGGGUGCCAAGGUGAGUGCCUCAGCCACCCACAGCAAACCGUGCCAUCUGCAGUCAGAGUUCCCCUCAGACUACCUGGUGGCUUUUGUAAUACAGUAGUACCUCGGGUUACAGACGCUGCAGGUUACGGACACUUCAGGUUACAGACUCCGCUAACCCAGAAAUAGUACCUUGGGUUAAGAACUUUGCUUCAGGAUGAGAACAGAAAUCGUGUGGCAGUGGCAGCAGGAGGCCCCAUUAGCUAAAGUACCUCAGGUUAAGAACAGUUUCAGGUUAAGAACUGACCUCCAGAAUGAAUUAAGUUCUUAACCCGAGGUACCACUGUACCCCUCUUCCACUCGGUGGAAUGCAAUGUUAUCAUUCUUUAUCAUGAUGAGGUCCAUUUGGGUGUAAUGGCAGUUCUCUGCAACUGGAGGCAAACUCCAUCUUUCACUUAGCAAACGGGAGUCGGAAGGGGCCGUGACGAUAGAUCCCUGUUUGACGUUGUCGGCAGGUUGAGUCAGCCACGAGCAGCACCGUCUCGGGCACCGUUCAUUUUUCAUUUUCACCGCCUUGCCUUCAUUUCACCACUAAUCUAAUCCUUCUGCCAACGCUCCGUUCCCUGAUGGCCGCAGAAACUCCCCUCUUGCCUAUACAUGCGAUAUUACUCCUAUAGAUCACCGCUUUUAGAAUUUAAAGUUGUAAUUACUGCAAAGUAUUUACUUGGUAAUCUGGAAACAAACUCCCUCUUUUUCUUCCCUGCCACCGGUCCAGCCGUCUUCGCAGCCAUCAUGAACUGCCAUCUCAACCGGCACAUGCCUGGAAUGCCAAUAACUUUCCGGGAAGGGUCCCUGGACUGCAAUCGCUGCAGUCACGGGCUCUGACUGCCAGAGUGAACUUUAACAAAAUCAAUUGAAUCCAGAGGACCAAUAUGAAUGCUGUUGAACUUUGGACUAUUAUCUGAAAUAACUGUGACUGACAAAAACGGUUCUCUGGGUAACCUUAUGCGGGCUCUCGCACAGCCCCUUUAGCGAGACCCGUUUAUUGAGAGAAUCCCACGGGUAAUUAAGUGGCCGCUGAUUGCCUUGAAAUAUUACGCGGCCAAGAAAAAUGAUCCCUUUCUCUAAUGACAGCCAGGUACCAUUUUCCUCUAAAGGUGGAUAAAGGGCUUCCUCUCUCCCUUUCUCAGGAACAAGUGCUGAGAUUCAAUUUCUGUCUCUCUCUCUCCCGCGCUCCCAUUUUAUUCCAUUGUGCGAAAGGCCACGGUUUUCAAGCUGGGGGCGGGGGGAAUCCCUUUAUGCAGCAUUGUUCAUUUUAAACUUCUGCUGAAUAGGAGCUCGCUCCAGCUUUAUUCCUAGAGGCAUACGAGAAAUGCCUCUGAAUCUGUGUCUUGGGUGGAGUUGCUGCUGAGAGCUCAGCUUUGCUGCUUGCGGGAAACGUCGGGUCUGCCCCUAACCAAGGCCUGCAGUAGAUCUGCUGGCUGGGAUGACUUCACUUAUAACAUAUGCUCCAACUUUUCCCAAGAUAAAUCCGGAACAUCGCCCUAACUAGUGGCAUCGCAAGGGGGGGCCAUGCACCCCGGGUGCCGUGUCUGGGGGGGUGACAAGAAGGCACCCCGCAGGGUGCUCGCCCUGCCGCCCCGGGCGCGGUGGCACAAGAAGCCAUCACGCCGCCUCAGCCACGUGUGGAGGAUCCUCCGUUCACGGAUGCAGUAGCGAGCAAAGGAUCCUACCCCUGCACAGGCCACUUCAGCCCGCCACUGCCACUGCCACUGCCACUAUCCCUAUCCCUGUGUGGCCUAGCCACUCACACUGCCACCCGCAUAGGCUACAUCAGCCUGCCACUGCCACCCUACCGCUCGCCUCCCUGCCCGCUCAGUCCACUUUGGCCCACCAUGGCUGCUGCUGCCACCCCACCACCCUGCAACCUUACCUUCACCAGCUGGGCUCUCUCUUCUCCCAAGCCGCUUCCAGAAAGGCGUCAGCGGACGUGGCUGAGACCUAGAGACAGAGGAGGCUUUGCCACAGUGGCUGUGGAGGCAGCCUUGGCCUCGCCUUGGCAGUGGCAGAGGAAGUGAGACAUCUGGGAAUUAAAACAGAAGCCUUUUGUAGAUCCAGGAUGUCCCAUUCAAAGUGGAGCAGGUGGAAGGUCUAUUAUAAGGUGGAAGUGUGUGGCAAAGUGGAAGAACAGCUGUUUGCAUGCAGAAGGUCCCAGUUUCAAUUGCCAAUGGCAUCUCCAGCUAUGGCUGGGAAUGUCCCCUACCUGAAACCCUGGGGGGUGGCUGCCAGUCAGUGUCAACAGCACUGAGAUGAAUGGAUCAAUAAUCUGGCUCAGUUAAAGCUAUCUUCCCAUGUUCCUAUUUGGGAAGGGCCGAAUAGCAGAACAUCUGCUUUUCAUGCAGUAGGUCCCAGGUUCAGUUCCUGGCAGAAUCUACAGGUUCGGGCUGAGAAUGUUGUCAUUGAAUUCUAUUCAGUAUUGAUCCAGAGUACUGAUCCAUAAAGAAGGCUGAUCACCGAAGAAUUGAUGCUUUUGAAUUAUGGUGCUGGAGGAGACUCUUGAGAGUCCGAUGGACUGCAAG
rnacentral:lncRNA from 1 species